GUACACAAAAAUGCACAUAUUGUGAGCUCGAUGAGUAGGGCGGGACACGUGGUAUCCUGUCUGAAUAUGGGGGGACCAUCCUCCAAGGCUAAAUACUCCUGACUGACCGAUAGUGAACCAGUACCGUGAGGGAAAGGCGAAAAGAACCCCGGCGAGGGGAGUGAAAAAGAACCUGAAACCGUGUACGUACAAGCAGUGGGAGCCUCUUUAUGGGGUGACUGCGUACCUUUUGUAUAAUGGGUCAGCGACUUAUAUUCUGUAGCAAGGUUAACCGAAUAGGGGAGCCGAAGGGAAACCGAGUCUUAACUGGGCGUUAAGUUGCAGGGUAUAGACCCGAAACCCGGUGAUCUAGCCAUGGGCAGGUUGAAGGUUGGGUAACACUAACUGGAGGACCGAACCGACUAAUGUUGAAAAAUUAGCGGAUGACUUGUGGCUGGGGGUGAAAGGCCAAUCAAACCGGGAGAUAGCUGGUUCUCCCCGAAAGCUAUUUAGGUAGCGCCUCGUGAAUUCAUCUCCGGGGGUAGAGCACUGUUUCGGCAAGGGGGUCAUCCCGACUUACCAACCCGAUGCAAACUGCGAAUACCGGAGAAUGUUAUCACGGGAGACACACGGCGGGUGCUAACGUCCGUCGUGAAGAGGGAAACAACCCAGACCGCCAGCUAAGGUCCCAAAGUCAUGGUUAAGUGGGAAACGAUGUGGGAAGGCCCAGACAGCCAGGAUGUUGGCUUAGAAGCAGCCAUCAUUUAAAGAAAGCGUAAUAGCUCACUGGUCGAGUCGGCCUGCGCGGAAGAUGUAACGGGGCUAAACCAUGCACCGAAGCUGCGGCAGCGACACUAUGUGUUGUUGGGUAGGGGAGCGUUCUGUAAGCCUGUGAAGGUGGCCUGUGAGGGUUGCUGGAGGUAUCAGAAGUGCGAAUGCUGACAUAAGUAACGAUAAAGCGGGUGAAAAGCCCGCUCGC
rnacentral:rRNA from 1 species